AAAUUAAAUUUUAUGGGCAAAUGGUGGAUGCCUUGGGAUAUCGAGGCGACGAAGGACGUGGGGUGCCUGCGAUAAGCUUCGGGGAGGUGGCUACCAACCUUUGAUCCGAAGAUUUCCGAAUGGGGAAACCCAUCCCGCAGUAAUGCGGGAUACCCUGCCACAAGCAGGGAGCGAACCCGCUGAAGUGAAACAUCUCAGUAAGCGGAGGAAAAGAAACCAAAUUUUACGUCUUGCUUUGGUUAGACGUAAUGGUAUUCCCCCAGUAGCGGCGAGCGAAAAGGGAAGAGCCUAAACCAUCUUGUGUUUUUACAAGGUGGGGUUGUAAGAAAGCAACGUCGGGUCCUUUGGAUGCCGAGGGAGAUUAAAAAAAUAAAAGUUAGUUAGGAGAAAUACCCUGGAAAGGGAUACCAAAGAGGGUAAUAGUCCCGUAUCCGAAAACUCUUUUAUGCUCCUUGUUGCUUCCUGUGAAAGCAGGCUCGUAUCUCACGAUACGAUGUCUUGAGUACCGCGGGGCACGAAAACCCUGUGGGAAGCAGGCUGAACUAAACAGCCAAGGCUAAAUACUCCGAUAUCCCCGAUAGCGAACAAGUACCGUGAGGGAAAGGUGAAAAGCAGGGAGGUGAUCCCGGUGAAAUAGAACCUGAAACCAUUUUGCUCACAAGGAGUCAGAGCCCGCCCUGGGCGGGUGAUGGCGUGCCUAUUGAAGAAUGAGCCAACGAGUUCUUUUACUUUCUUUGUCUAAGCCCUUUCGGGGCGGAGGCAUAGCGAAAGCGAGUGUUAACAGCGCGUUUUUGAGAAAGUAAAAGAGACCCGAAGCCAGGCGAGCUUACCAUGGCCAGGGUGAACCCCGCAGAAAUGCGGGGGGAGGCCCGAACCCGUGAGCCGUGCAAUACUCUGGGAUGAGCUGUGGUAAGAAGUGAAAAGCUAACCGAGCCUGGUAAUAGCUGGUUCUCCCCGAAAUAGCUUUAGGGCUAGCGCCGGUUGUAGAGAUUGGAAGUAGAGCACUGGAUGGAAUUGCUUGGGCUUUGCUCAGCUUUUCCAACCAAACUCCGAACGCCAAUCUUGUAAUUCCGGUAGUCAGAAUGUGGGGGCUAAGCUCCAUAUUCAAAAGGGAAACAGCCCAGACCUUCAUCUAAGGCCCCUAAGCUAAACUAAGUGUAAUCCAAGGAAGUAGAUCUCCUCUGAUAGCUAGGAGGUUAGCUUAGAAGCAGCUAUCCUUUAAAAAGUGCGUAACAGCUUACUAGUUAAGGAGUUCUGCGCCGAAAAUUUCCGGGACUAAGUUUAGCGCCGAAGAUAAGGAGCCGUUGCUUCGCAACGGAAUUUCUAAAUUCUAAUAUCUAAACUCUAAACAAAUUAUAAAUUCCAAUUUUUCAAACUCCAAACAGUUUGUAAUUUGUAAUUUAAAUUUGAAUUUUGUUUAGAAUUUAGGAUUUAAGAUUUCCGCUACGGAGUAGCGGUUGGUAGGGGAGCGUCUUGCUUGCGCCGAAGGCGGUUUGUAAAAACCGCUGGAGCGAGCAGGAGUGAGAAUGUUGGCAUGAGUAACCGCAAUCCGCCUGAGAACGGCGGACACCGAAAACCUAAGGUUUCCUUGGCAAUGGCAAUCAUCCAAGGGUUAGGCGGCCCUAACCUUGUUUCCGAAAGGAAAUAAGGGAUGGACAGCCGGUUAAUAUUCCGGCCCUCCAGUGUUAUUUUUCUUAAGGUGACGAAGAGCAGUAGUUUGGGCGAGUUAUUGGAUUCUCGUUUGCAAUAUAAGGAGAAAUCCAAGUGUUGCAAAAAUUAUCUCUUUCGGGAGGUAAAAUCCAAAUGAGCGCUCUUCCCAGAAAAGCUUUAAGAAAAAAAAUAGCACUGGAUCCGUACCGAAAACCGACACAGGUGGGUAGGCGUCAGAGCGCCAAGGUGAACGAGUGAAAGCUCCUGAAGGAACUCGGCAAAACAGCGUCCGUAAGUUCGCAAUAUGGGCUCCCCGCAGUAAUGCGGGGCGCAGCGAAAGACCCCCUGGCGACUGUUUAUCAAAAACAUAGGUCUCUGCAAACUCGUAAGAGGAUGUAUAGGGGCUGAGGCCUGACCAGUGCUAGAACGUUAACAGCGCCGGUUGCUUCUGCUUCGGCAGGAACAGCUGAGUGCUCGAAGCGCUAGUAAACGUCGGCGGUAACUAUAACCGUCAACCUCGCUACCGGUUGGGCGGUUGUAAAAUCCGGCUAUAUGCUGGAAAGCGUCAAAAGCCAUUUCUACCGAGAAGGUGAAAAAGAAAUGGUUGGCGUAAUCAGCAGGAAAGACUUAUCUCUCUUAGCUAAAAAAAUGGAAAAAGAUUAUCUUAGUUUGUUCAAAGGAAAAAGGAAGUAUCUCUUCUAUUAUGUCUGCGGUUUGGUAGAUGGUGAAGGAAGUUUCAGUGUUUCUUUUACAAAGCAUCCUACUUUAAGUUCAGGAUGGUUGGUAGAUCCGGUAUUUCAAGUUUAUCAGCACCAAAAUAAUGUAGAAGUUCUCUAUCUUUUAAAAGAAGUGUUUGGAGCAGGAAGUAUUUACCGGAAGAACGGUAAACAUCCAGUAAUGGUUUUUGGAAUCCAUUCAAGGCGAAGUUUAGAAGAGAAAAUAAUUCCUUUUUUCAAAAAGUAUCCAUUAAUUGUCAAAAGAGAAAGCUUUAAAAUCUUUUGCCAAAUUAUAGAAUUAAUGAACAGAAAAGAGCAUCUUAAGAGAGAAGGAAUUAGAAAAAUUUAUCAAUUAGCGAGAAAAAUGAACCUUCAAGGAAAAGGUCGUAAAUAUUCCUUAAAAGAUUUUUCUUAAAGAGAUAAGUUUCCUCAGAGACUAUACGCCGGAUCCUGAGUUUCAGGAAUGAUAUAGUCCAUUACAAAUGCCAAAGGUAGCGUAGUCCCUUGCCAGGUAAGUUCUGGCCCGCAUGAAAGGCUUAACGACUGGGGGACUGUCUCCAGGAGCAGCUCGGUGAAAAUGCAAUACCGGUAAAGAUGCCGGUUACCUGCGGCUAGACGGAAAGACCCCGGGAGCUUUACUAUAGUUAGAUAUUGGGUUUUGGUUUUGGAUGCGUAGCGUAGAGGGGAGACUUUGAGUCCUGCCUUUCGGGGCAGGAGGAGUCGCCAAUGAAACACCCUCCUUUCAAAAUCUUAAUUCUAACCCCGCAUUAGGCGGGAGGACAGUGUCUAACGGGUAGUUUAAGUGGGGCACUUACCUCCUAAAAAGUAAUGGAGGCGUUUAAAGGUCAGCUAACUCCGGAUGGAAAUCGGAGCGAUAGGGCAAAGCCGCAAGCUGGCUUUACUGCAAGGCGGAUAAGCCGCGCAGUUGGGAAACCAGAACUUAGUGAACCGACCCUUGAUUUUAGAAUCGGGGGAGAUUAUCAGAUAAAAGUUACCCCGGGGAUAACAGGCUGGUAGAGCCCGAGAGUUCACAUCAACGGCUCUGUUCGGCACCUCGAUGUCGGCUCAACGCAUCCUGGGGGUGGAGCCGCUCCCAAGGGUUUGGCUGUUCGCCAAUUAAAGCGUUACGCGAGCUGGGUUCAAACCGUCGUGAGACAGGUUGGUCCCUAUCUACCGCAGGCGUUGAACCUUGAGGGAAGUUCGAGAUAGUACGAGAGGACCUCUCGGAACCGACCUCUGGUCUACCAGUUGUCCUGCCAAGGGCAUAGCUGGGUAGCUAAGUCGGGCAGGGAUAAGCGCUGAAAGCAUCUAAGCGCGAAGCCCAUCCCAAGAUUAGGGUUCCUGUCUGUUGCAAAACAGACUAAGAUUCCUCGGAGAUGACGAGGUUGAUAGGCUGCAGGCGUAAGUCCCGUAAGGGAUUGAACCGAGCAGUACUAAUAAAUCGAU
rnacentral:rRNA from 1 species